AGCAGCCGCGGUAAUUCCAGCUCCAAUAGCGUAUAUUAAAGUUGUUGCAGUUAAAAAGCUCGUAGUUGAAUUUCGGGAUCAGUACGCUGGUCGUGCCUCCGGUAUGUACUGGUGUCACUGAUUCCUCCCUUCUGAAGAACCAUCAUGCCAUUAAUUUGGUGUGGUGGGGAAUCAGGACUGUUACUUUGAAAAAAUUAGAGUGUUUAAAGCAGGCUCGCGCUUGAAUACAUUAGCAUGGAAUAAUGAAAUAGGACGUUUAUCCUAUUUUGUUGGUUUCUAGGAUUGACGUAAUGAUUAAUAGGGAUAGUUGGGGGCAUUAGUAUUCAAUUGUCAGAGGUGAAAUUCUUGGAUUUAUUGAAGACUAACUACUGCGAAAGCAUUUGCCAAGGAUGUUUUCAUUAAUCAAGAACGAAAGUUAGGGGAUCGAAGACGAUCGGAUACCGUCGUAGUCUUAACCAUAAACUAUGCCGACUAGGGAUCGGAUGAUGUUAAUUUUUUAAUGACUCAUUCGGCGCCUUACG
rnacentral:rRNA from 1 species